UACUUUCAUACAGGUCCCUAUAAAUACAGUGAAUUACAAAUAUAUCCCUAUAAUAAAGUUUAACUUCAAAUGUUGUCUCUGUAAAAGUUCUAAUAUUUUCAAAUAUAUCCCUCUGGUUUGUUAUCAUUAAAAUAUUAUUUAUUUUAUAAGUGAAAUGACAUUUUUGCCAUAACAAAUAUGUCUCUCUAAAAGUCUUAACUAUUAAUUAAAAAAAGGUAAGAAGAUCAAUUCACCCCAUUAACUAACUAGGAUUAAAUAUUUUAUCUAUGACUAAUUAAUUUUUUUUAACGGAUCCAAAUGGCAGAGACACAUUUGAAAAUAUCAGGUUUUUUGUAGGGACAGUAUAUGAAAGUUUAUAGAAGUAUAUUUGUAAUUCACUAUAUUUGUAAGGACCUGUAUGAAAUUAACCCUAAUAUUAAAAUUGAAAUAAAGAAAAUAGAAGCUGAGGGGGUGGAAUU
rnacentral:lncRNA from 1 species